CAGGCCUAACACAUGCAAGUCGUACGAGAAAGGGGCUUCGGCCCUGAGUAGAGUGGCGCACGGGUGAGUAACGCGUGGGUAAUCUGCCCUUGGAUUUGGGAUAACUCUGCGAAAGUGGAGCUAAUACCGGAUAGUCUGGCUUUAAUUGAUAAGUCGGUAAAGGAUGCCUCUGCAUAUGCAUUCGUCCAAGGAUGAGCCCGCGUCUCAUUAGCUAGUUGGUAGGGUAAUGGCCUACCAAGGCAACGAUGAGUAGCUGGUCUGAGGGGAUGAUCAGCCACACUGGAACUGAAACACGGUCCAGACUCCUACGGGAGGCAGCAGUGGGGAAUAUUGCGCAAUGGGCGAAAGCCUGACGCAGCAACGCCGUGUGAGGGAUGAAGGCUUUCGGGUCGUAAACCUCUGUCGGAAGGGAAGAACGGGUGAGGGUCUAAUAGGCCUUCAUUUUGACGGUACCUUUAGAGGAAGCACCGGCUAACUCCGUGCCAGCAGCCGCGGUAAUACGGAGGGUGCAAGCGUUAUUCGGAAUUACUGGGCGUAAAGCGCACGUAGGCCGCUUUGCAAGUCAGAUGUGAAAGCCCUCGGCUUAACCGAGGAAGUGCGUCUGAAACUGCAGAGCUUGAGUCUCGGAGAGGAUGGCGGAAUUCCGCAAGUAGAGGUGAAAUUCGUAGAUAUGCGGAGGAACACCGGUGGCGAAGGCGGCCAUCUGGACGAGAACUGACGCUGAGACGCGAAAGCGUGGGGAGCAAACAGGAUUAGAUACCCUGGUAGUCCACGCUGUAAACGAUGAGAACUAGUGUCGGGGACUUGAUCUUCGGUGCCGUAGCUAACGCGUUAAGUAUCCCGCCUGGGGAGUACGGUCGCAAGGCUGAACUCAAAGAAAUUGACGGGGNNCCGCACAGCGGUGGAAGAUUGUGGUUAAUUCGAUGCA
rnacentral:rRNA from 1 species